AAUGGCAGGUCAGCAUACUGCCGUGAAUACGUUCCCGGGCCUUGUACACACCGCCCGUCACACCAUGAGAGUUGGGAAUACCCGAAGCCUGUGAGCCAACUUUUAAAGAGGCAACAGUCGAAGGUAGAAUCAAUGAUUGGGGUGAAGUCGUAACAAGGUACC
rnacentral:rRNA from 1 species